rnacentral:rRNA from 1 species
UACGGAGGAUCCGAGCGUUAUCCGGAUUUAUUGGGUUUAAAGGGUGCGUAGGCGGUUUGAUAAGUUAGAGGUGAAAUGUCGGGGCUCAACCCCGAAACUGCCUCUAAUACUGUUGGACUAGAGAAUAGUUGCGGUAGGCGGAGUGUAUGGUGUAGCGGUGAAAUGCUUAGAGAUCAUACAGAACACCGAUUGCGAAGGCAGCUUACCAAACUAUAUCUGACGUUGAGGCACGAAAGCGUGGGUAGCAAACAGG